ACAGCUUUGUCAGCACGUAAAGAUGUCGGGACUAAGGUUGUGGAGUGCUCACAACAUACCACAAAAGAGUAAGGCCCAGUCCUUAUGACCAAUAGUUUCUGCAUUGAAAUGACCAUGCAUAACUUCUCUAAUCAGAUGAAAUGCACUAAAACUUGGUGUGGUACUUAGGAUGGGGUUUCAACUUGAUUGGCUUUGGGAUGCACUCCUCAGACUGAUGGCGCACACUUGUAGACCACGGAGAAGCUAAACUCUGGAGAGUUUCAGUGUCUUACCCAGAGCCACACGAGGCCACAGUGCAAGACCAGUGCCUGCCUUCAAGUCUUCUGCUAUGGAGGCCAGUCAUUCCAGAUGUUUAAAAAAUUGCAUCCACCCCCAGGAAGACUCUUCCAUGUGUGAAAAAAUGUACUGAAGGAGACUGGAGAAAAUGGUUUCAGCUUUUGUAGAAAUUUGCUGCCAAGAGCCCCAUCUUCUUGAUUGGUUUAAAUUACUUUCCCCUUUCCAUUGUUGCCUUUCAGUGGAGCCAUCUGUUUUAAGGCCCAUCUGUCAAGGGCUCCGUUGGGGUGAUUAGUAAAUGUAUCAGCAGCUGGAGUUUCAAGAGAAAAAAACUUAAAUGACAAAAGGCAAGUGUCCCCAAGACUGAAAGUAGAAAACAGAAACAGACUUGUGGCCGUGGUCACACUUAGAAACCAGAGGAUUCAAUCCUUCUGUGCA